AAAAACAGAUAAGGGCAGACGGUGGAUGCCGUGGCUCUCGGAGGCGAAGAAGGACGUGAUAAGCUGCGAUAAGCUACGGGGAUUGGCACAUACAAAUUGAUCCGUAGAUUUCCGAAUGGGGCAACCCGGUACAUUGAAGA
rnacentral:rRNA from 1 species